UUGAAUGCCAAAAGCAAGUUAUUGUUUUUAACUUUUUAAAUAUGAUUGUUUUGGGGCAUUUCAGUUUUAUUGGACAGAGGCAGUAGAUAUCUACUGGAAACAGUGGAGAGGGAGGAGAUGAUAUGCAGCAAAAGGCCCAGCCGGAUGGUUGCUGCUCCGUGUGGAACGUGUUCUAUCAGGUGUAACAUCUACCAAUGGUUGUACAUGACAGAGACCUCCUCCACCUCUUUGCUGUCUUACUAGUCAAUCCUUCUGAUCAGGUCCUUUCCUAAAUAGUGAAAGGAUCAUGCCAGCCCACAUCAAACACCUGAUCAAGA